GUUGUUGUUGCCUAUGAUGCAUACUUCUGUAGUUCUCACUGAUUAUUUGUGAUGAUCUCUACACAUUCGUCACUACCUCUGAGGCAACAAAACC